AUUGAACGCUGGCGGCAUGCUUUACACAUGCGAGUCGAACGGCAGCGCGGGCUUCGGCCUGGCGGCGAGUGGCGAACGGGUGAGUAAUACAUCGGAACGUGCCCAGUAGUGGGGGAUAGCUCGGCGAAAGCCGGAUUAAUACCGCAUACGACCUGAGGGUGAAAGCGGGGGAUCUUCGGACCUCGCGCUAUUGGAGCGGCCGAUGGCAGAUUAGCUAGUUGGUGGGGUAAAGGCCUACCAAGGCGACGAUCUGUAGCUGGUCUGAGAGGACGACCAGCCACACUGGGACUGAGUCACGGCCCAGACUCCUACGGGAGGCAGCAGUGGGGAAUUUUGGACAAUGGGCGAAAGCCUGAUCCAGCAAUGCCGCGUGUGUGAUGAAGGCCUUCGGGUUGUAAAGCACUUUUGGCGGGAACGAAAAGGACUGUGCCAAUACCACGGUUCGAUGACGGUACCCGCAGAAUAAGCACCGGCUAACUACGUG
rnacentral:rRNA from 1 species